CUGACUCCUCCAGCCCUGAGCUUUCCUUCCAGCAGCCUGCCUGGACUUGCAGGUCAGCUUCACUGUCUCUGUGCAGGCUUCCUGAGGUACCUAAAAUUUCAUUCAUAUAAACAAGAGGAGUUCUGCCUAAUAGGCUAGUGAUAUUCUGAAGAUGACCAGUCAUGCUGUGAAGAAAAGCAAAAUAAACAGAAGAAAUGGAAAAGGUUGAUGAUAUAG
rnacentral:lncRNA from 1 species